AUUGAACGCUGGCGGCAUGCCUUACACAUGCAAGUCGAACGGUAACGGGCCUUCGGGUGCCGACGAGUGGCGAACGGGUGAGUAAUACAUCGGAACGUGCCCGAUCGUGGGGGAUAACGAGGCGAAAGCUUUGCUAAUACCGCAUACGAUCUACGGAUGAAAGCAGGGGACCGCAAGGCCUUGCGCGGACGGAGCGGCCGAUGGCAGAUUAGGUAGUUGGUGGGAUAAAAGCUUACCAAGCCGACGAUCUGUAGCUGGUCUGAGAAGAUGAUCAGCCACACUGGGACUGAGACACGGCCCAGACUCCUACGGGAGGCAGCAGUGGGGAAUUUUGGACAAUGGGCGCAAGCCUGAUCCAGCCAUGCCGCGUGCAGGAUGAAGGCCUUCGGGUUGUAAACUGCUUUUGUACGGAACGAAAAGCCUUCUUUUAAUACAGGAGGGUCAUGACGGUACCGUAAGAAUAAGCACCGGCUAACUACGUG
rnacentral:rRNA from 1 species